UUCUUUUUUUUUUUUUUUUUUGUCUUUCCUCUCUCUCUGUUUCACGAAGAACAACAAAAUUAUCAGAUUUUCAAUCCCUCUUUUAUCAAACCCUCACACACAUUCUCCUAAACUUAGAUCACAAAUAUUAGAUACAGAUAAUAAUGGCUGGUAAAGGUGAAGGUCCGACGAUUGGAAUCGAUGUAGGUACUACCUAUUUGUGUUGACCGGAACGGAGAUGGUGGAAGAAAGUGAGGGAGUUGACGGAGUCCGUAGACGGCGGUCGGUGGCGACGGUGGUUACGUCGGCUGAGGCGGUGGUUACGAUGGUGGUUAAAAGGCAGUGUACGGUGGUUUCGGGUAUGUGCGGUGGCGCGUGAGAGUAACGUCACCGCCGUUGAUGGAAUAUGAGUCGUUGGUUAAGAGUACCGAGACGGUUAUUGCAGCGAGUAGGAGGGUGUGGAAGAUGUUUUAGCUCCGGUGACGGUGUAACAGCGGGGGUGAACGACGGCGGACGGAUGUAGUGGUGGGUUGAACGGCAGCGAAUGACCGGUGAACGGAGACGGAGAGUGUGGAGAGGAGACGGCGGAUGUUUGCUGGUGGGUUUGGGUGUACGGUGGAGCUCGGUUGAAGAUGUUGAUGAUAACAGAUUAAAAUUUUGAUGUUAGAUGUAAAAUGUAGUUGAUGUUCAACUGUUUGAUGAAGCUGAUGUCUGUUGACGCUGGCCGGAAAUAGUGGUGGUUUUGGUUGAAGUCAGUUCACCGGAUACGUGGCGGCGCCGGAAUAACUUGCCGGAACCCUAAAUUAUGGCUGGAAGUUUGCAGGAGAAAGAAGAUGUUGUCCCGGCAACAGUGGAGGUCGGAAAUAGAUCGUCGGAAAGGCGGCGCCGGAGAAUAUUGCCAGAAACCCUAAUCUGUUAAAAGAGAUUCAAUUUUUUUUUUUUAAUAUACUUCUGUUUCUACUCUUUCUU
rnacentral:lncRNA from 1 species